rnacentral:tRNA from 1 species
GCCUGGGUGGCUCAGUCAGUUAAGCAUCUGACUUCGGCUCAGGUCAUGAUCUCACAGUUCGUGGGUUCGAGCCCCACAUCAGGCU